UACGGAGGGUACGAACGUUAAUCGGAAUUACUGGGCGUAAAGCGCGCGUAGGUGGUCUGUUAAGUCGGAUGUGAAAGCCCCGGGCUCAACCUGGGAACUGCAUCCGAUACUGGCAGACUAGAGUGCGGGAGAGGGAGGUAGAAUUCCACGUGUAGCGGUGAAAUGCGUAGAUAUGUGGAGGAAUACCAGUGGCGAAGGCGGCCUCCUGGCUCGACACUGACGCUGAGGUGCGAAGGCAUGGGUAGCAAACGGG
rnacentral:rRNA from 1 species